UACGAAGGUGGCAAGCGUUACUCGGAAUUACUAGGCGUAAAGGGCAGGUAGGUGGUUUGGUAAGUCUGUUGUGAAAGCUCCCGGCUCAACUGGGAGAGGCCAACAGAUACUACUAAGCUUGAGUAUAGGAGAGGAUACUGGAAUUCCCGGUGUAGCGGUGAAAUGCGCAGAGAUCGGGAGGAACACCAAUGGCGAAAGCAGGUAUCUGGACUAUUACUGACACUCAGCUGCGAAAGCUAGGGGAGCAAACAGG
rnacentral:rRNA from 1 species